AUGAUGAAUUAUUUGAAAGUGAUCCUAUUGUGAGUGUGUCGUCGGCUACCUUUGAAAGUCUUUUCGACUCAGAUAAGCGAAUCGAAGAUGUUGAGGAUAUAGUUGAAGUUCCUCCUACGAAUUCAAAAAAAAAAAGAGUUGUUGAAAAUUCAAGUGGAAGCAAAGACAAACAAGCAAGGUUGAG